UGUCCAGUGAAAACCUGCGUGAGUGUG
rnacentral:sRNA from 1 species